CAGCUCUCAGAUGGCAUAUAAAAUGAGAGGAAAAGAGCACCUGAUCGGGCUGACAUCAAGAGAUCACAAGUGUUUGCAGGUUUUCCAGAGUGUUUAGGAAUAAAAGAGCAGUGAGUCAAAGUGUGUGGAAGAAGGAGCAGGAGCAGAGGAAAAGGUGUUGGUCCCAGCGGGUGGGAAAGAAUUAACAGUGCGGAGAGUAGGGGGGAGGAAGGAGAAUUCUCUGCCCUGACAAAAAAGGUGAGCUUCCAGAAACCUGGGACCUCAGUGAACUUGCAAGACGCCUCUAAUAAAGAGAAGCAGCAUGACUUCGCUGGGGAAAGACGUGCAGUACCUCGCCACUGUGUAGUGUUCCUACCGUACAGACACCACAGACACGAUUAACCUCGAGAGCAUAGAUAUUAGGAAGAGGAAAACAACUGAGGAAAACUGUUGAAGUGAUGAAGAAGGAGGUUACCUUCUAGGACUCCCCCGGUGCUGUCUUUCUGCGGAGCCCCCUUCUUCUCAGCCUCUAACCAGCCACCCGGGGAGCUGAGUCCUUCCCCCCGGCGCCCAGGCUGCUGCGCGGAGCUCAGACACACGUCCAUAGCCGGCUGUCCCAAAGACAGCUGUGCAUUGAAAAGCAAUCUACAAAAGAACGACUAUAAUCUACUGACUGACUGUUACUAGUUCAGCACAUCUAUGAUCUACAUCGCAUGUUCGUAAUUAAUACAGAAUUGGAAAUGACUCCUUGUUAGUAUGCCCAAAAUAAUUUUGAAUUGUUACACGUAUCUUUACCUUAUGCAGCAGAAGAGAUGUGAGGCUUCUGUGCACUCUUUAAUCCCCAGUGUUUUAUAUAGGUCUACACCUGAAAGGAUUAGCAUUUGAUGAACAAAAUCCAGCCAGUGGAAGCCCAAGUUAUUUAGGGUAGCAUUAUCUACCAGUCCUCAUAGACACAUUACUUUGCUAGAAUUCUCUCUCUUUCUCUCUCUCUCUCUCUCUCUCUCUCUCACACACACACACACACACACACACACACGCACAGUCCUAGCAACAUUCAAUGGAAUUCCCUUCAAAAGUUUCAGGAAUAUCACUGGAACAGAACAGAGGCUGCCCCUGUGGCAUCCAGUUGCUGCGAUGUGGUUCGAAACGUUAGACUUCCAGUUCACUUUUCAAAGAAGUGGGUGUUGGACAGUUGCACAGACUUGCAAAUUUUGUGCUCAUUUGCCAAACUCCAGUAGCCACAGGGAGGACAUGCCCACCCAGCCUCUGCCUAGGACCCGUAUCCAGGCAGCCAGAAAGAACACAAGGAUCUACCAAGAGGAAGGGAAUGCUUUGGGGAGGAAGAAAGGAGAGCAUCUAUCCAUGAGAAGGGACGGGAGUCAAAGGCUUAACGUUGAAUCUGGGGGAUUUAGAGCAGAGGGAAGAGGAAAUCAGAAAAACUCUUCCAAGAAAAAGUAAGCCAUUGUGAUUUAUUUAACUGAAAUAAGGGAUAGUCAAAAGGGAAGGAGAAAAAUCAUGUGCUCAUUUGUGAAGCUCAGAAACCCUUAAAAUAGAAUAUAGGUCACACAAAGUAAAGCCUCAGACAAAUGGGAAUUAAAGAAUCACUUGUGAUAGGCUACAUUCAACCAGGGAGUUGGAUGAAUGGUGUUUUAACCUGAGUAGAUAUAAAAGCCCAUUUUUGUUUUUGUACCCACCCUCGGUACUCGUUUCUCUGGUGUCACUAUUUUGUGUUCUUUAUGUCAGUUUCUUUUCACUCAGGAUGUUCAUCUAGAUGUGCUGUGGUCCCAUGUAAAUCACCUUUCCCACUUUCUUAAAUGACUGGGGAUAAGCCGGCAUUUGUUCCAGCUCUAUCGUUCUAAUGCUUUCUUAUUCCCCAAAUGCAUCUAGUUCUAUGAUUGCAUUCUGCAUCUCUGCAACUUAUUUCUUCCAGGUGUCAUCAGUCCCUAUGAGAAAUAGCAAAAAGAUAGUCAUCAGUACAAUUCUACAAAAACCUUUUAAAAACUGAUUGCAAUGUACGUGAAUAUAUGUGUGUAUAUUUAUAUGCAUGUAGACACACACAUAGACAAACAUAUGCGUUCAUUCUACAAGCUUUAAAAUGAAGCAAAGGACGAAGGAAAAAAUGUUGAUCUCCUUUAAUUCUACUAUCUAGAGAAAGAAACCUCACCAACUUUUUUUUUUGUAUCAACUUCUAGGCUUAUUUUUUUUGUAUAAACUUUUUUAAAGCUAUUUUACUGAAAAUGUGACUUGAUAGAAACAUGUACCUCUUUAACCUAGCAUCCUAUUAAGAGUUCCUUUUUAGGAUGAGUUCAUGUCCUUUGCAGGGACAUGGAUGAAGCUGGAAACCAUCAUUCUCAGCAAACUAACACAGGAACAGAAAACCAAACACCACAUGUUCUCACUCAUAAGUGGGAGUCGAACAAUGAGAACACAUGGACACAGGGAGGGGAACAUCACACACCUGGGCCUGUCAGGGGGUGGGGGACUUAGGGGACGGAGAGCAUUAGGAGAAAUACCUAAUGUAGAUGAUGGGUUGAUGGGUGCAACAAACCACCAUGGCACGUGUAUACCUAUGUAACAAACCUGCACAUUCUGCAUGUGUACCCCA
rnacentral:lncRNA from 1 species